rnacentral:misc_RNA from 1 species
UACCAGACCCUUGGCCACUCAGGA